AUUUCAUUCAGAUGGUCUUGGCUGUCAGGCCUGUAAGUAGACGAGAGCCAUUAUAAAUGGUAGUAUGUCAAGUGAGGAGAAAAGUGCUAAUGGGAUGCUCAAAGAACCAUUGGUUAGGCCCCGUUUUAUGAGAAGGGUAGAUUAACGAUUUAUGAAGCCUCUUCCAACCCACUUAUGUAGCGUUACCUUGAUCACUGUGGCUUUUAGACUGAAAGAGAUGCCCAGUGCCACACCAGUGGAGUAAUAUCUGUUGAGUAAAUAUUCUCUCCUACAGCAGGUGGCACUGUCUCCCUUGCACUCAACCACUGCUCUUCCUUAUUGCAGAAUCACCUCUCCCUGGAGGUUUCAGGCUCCCCGUUGCUCUGAGCCAACAGCGAAGUGACCAGAAUACUGUUCACUCUGUGGGAAAGGUCUCUGGGGGCUUGCUGAGGUCGUUCCCUGGCUAGGCCCCUGACCAGUGCUCCUGUACUGGGCACUUGUAUUCUGUGCAAGCACUUUGCAAGGUGCAGUGGUAGAGGAGAGCUACGUUGUCUCACUCUAUUGCAGAAGUGAGCAAACUACGGCCCGCAUGCUGCAUCCGGCCCAUGGGACCGUCCUGCCCAGCCCCUGAGCUCGCGGCUGGGGUGGCUAGCCCGCAGGCAGCACUCUGGGCGACUGGGCUGCAUGCUCCUGCCGAGCAGCGCGGCAGCAUGUCUGGCUCCAGCCGGGAGAUGCGGCAUGGGGUUGUCAGAGCCACCCUUCUAUGUGAUGUCUUGAGAAUAUGACAGUGUGGGAACUGACAGGAGGAAGUGCUGGAGCAGUAUAGGGGACAGUGUCAUUCACUCCCAGGUCAUUGGCCUCGUUGGCUUUCGCACAUUCUCGUUAGCAAUGAUAACACAGGUGAUGUAAAGUACAUCCCAGAUUACCUUCUCCUGUACCAUGGGAACAGCCCGUCUCCACACAAUGGAGAGAGAGGCUGAGAGCGGAAAUAAACCAUUCAUAGCCCUCUGCCUCGUGAGAGCACUCCCUGCUGGUGCCAACAAGGCACUUCCAGUCUUUUCACUUGGAGUCUGAGACCCCUCUCCCAUGGCACUGUCACAGCACCUCAGCUGAGAGCGCUCCCUGCCGGUCCACAGAAUGAACUUGUGCUAAGGGCUGGACAAGAGGAUCCAGAGCAGAGAGUAACAGUCUGUAAAUCUCCACAGUCUCAUGCCCAUGAGGAACCGCUCCCUUUUGUGGGAUAAUGAAUGUUAAGCACCCACUUAGUAUCACUGGAAAACAGGAGCUCACAACUGCUCUAAAGGUAUGGUCUGCAGUCACUAUAAGUUCUCACAUCAGGGCACGCUGAUAUCUUGCCAGAUUCCUUGGUCUCUCUCAUUGUCUUUGUGUUCAUAUCAGUUCUGCCCUUCAGGACACACUCUCUGCUCGGCCUCCCUUCAGCAUGCCUUCUGCUAUAUCUCUCCCUCUCAGGCACUCAGAUUCCACGGUGAUGGGCAGGUAGACUUAUAAAAUUAAACCAAGUUGGAUUUAGUUCUCUUCCUUCCCAGCCCUAUCUCUCUCUCUUUCUGUGUGUGUGUGUGUGUGUGUGCGUCUCUCUCCAGGCUGCCUGAUAGCUUUUAUCUCUGUGUUAUAGCAUCUCUUGGCCUCAAACACUGCUGCAAUUCUUCCUCUUGUCAGCGAGCAUGGUUAUUAUGGGAGUCCCCGGCCAGCUGUGCAGAACCCUGCCAUUUCAUAGUGGAUGUUAUGCAGCCACCUAAACAAAACCCUGCUUGGGCUGCCUCUCACUAGUGCUUCAGGCAAACUGGGACUCCACAGUGUCUCUUCAGGAGCCUUCGCCCCAGCCCCAGGGGAGCAAAAUGCUCAAGAAAACUCAGGAUCCUCACUUCCCGUGAGCAGCAUUUGUCUUCAGAACACCGUGCAAGUCACAUCUCUUUGGGCAGACGGUUUUGUGGGCAAUCAGGCAGAGGCACCUAAUCCCUCUCGGUGUGGGCUCCUUCAAGUCAGAGAUUCAGAGCGUGGGUGCAAAAGGAGAACAGCUGUACUCCAUUCACAGACAGUC